AUACCAAGUUGCGUAAAAAUAUGAACUAUACAUAUUUAUGCUAAUUAGCCGUUUUGAGGUUAUUUGAAUUGUCAUAUAGCCCUAACGACACUGUAUUUGGAAAAAUUUCACAAUCGUAUAUUAAGGUGUAGAAUCGAUUUUUUAAUACAUAUACAUAUUUAUGCUAAUUAACCGUUUUGAGUUUAUUUGGGUUAUCAUAUAUGGCCUAACGACAGUGCAUUUGGAAAAAUUUCACAAUCUUAUCGUAGAAUCGAUUUUUUAGUACAUAUGCACUAAGCAAUCGAUACCAAGUUGCGUAAAAAUAUGAACUUCGCAUAUUUAUUCCAAUUAGCCAUAACGACGGUGAAUUUGGAAAAAUUUCACAAUCUUAUAUUGAGGUGCAGAACCGAUUUUUUAGUACAUAUACAUUAAGCACUAGAUUGCAAGUAGCGUAAAAAUAUGAACUAUACAUAUUUAUGCUAAUUAGCCGUUUUGAGGUUAUUGGAGUUGUCAUAUAGCCAUAACGACAGUGAAUUUGGAAAAAUUUCACAAUCGUAUAUUAAGGUGUAGAAUCGAUUUUUUAAUACAUAUACAUUAAGCACUCGAUACCAAGUUGCGUAAAAAUAUGAACUAUACAUAUUUAUGCUAAUUAGCUGUAUUUGGAAAAAUUUCACAAUCUUAUCGUAGAAUCGAUUUUUAGUACACUAUACAUAUUUAUGCUAAUUAACCGUUUUGAGGUUAUUUGAGUUAUCAUGUAGCCAUAACGACCUUGUAUUUGGAAAAAUUUUACAAUCUUAUCGUAGAAUCGAUUUUUUGGUACAUAUGCACUAAGCAAUCGAUACCAAGUUGCGUAAAAAUAUGAACUAUCCAUAGUUAUGCUAAUUAGCUGUUUUGAAGUUAUUGGAGUUGUCAUAUAACCAUAACGACAGUGAAUUUGGAAAAAUUUCACAAUCUUAUAUUAAGGUGUAGAAUCGAUUUUUUAGUACAUAUGCACUAUUUCAUCUUAUUUGAGUAGUCAUAGCCAUAACGACAGUGUAUUUGGAAAAAUUUCACAAUCUUAUAUUAAGCCGUAGAAUCGAUUUUUUAGUACAUAUGCCCUAAGCAAUCGAUAAAAAGUUGCGUAAAAAUAUGAACUAUACAUAGUUAUGCUAAUCAGCUGUAUUGACGUUAUUGGAGUUGUCAUAUAGCCAUAACGACAGUGAAUUUGGAAAAAUUUCACAAUCUUAUAUUAAGGUGUAGAAUCGAUUUUUUAGUACAUAUGCACUAAGCAAUCGAUACCAAGUUGCGUAAAAAUACGAACUAUACAUAUUUAUGCUAAUUAACCGUUUUGAGUUUAUUUGAGUUAUCAUAUAGCCAUAACGACAGUGCAUGUGGAAAAAUUUCACAAUCUUAUCGUAGAAUCGAGUUUUUAGUACAUAUGCACUAAGCAAUCGAUACCAAGUUGCGUAAAAAUAUGAACUAUACAUAUUUAUGCUAAUUAGCCGUUUUGAGGUUAUUGGAGUUGUCAUAUAGCCAUAACGACUGUGAAUUUGGAAAAAUUUCACAAUCUUAUAAUAAGGCGUAGAAUCGAUUUUUUAGUACAUAUGUACUAAGCAAUCGAUACCAAGUUGCGUAGAAAUACGAACUAUACAUAUUUAUGUUAAUUAACCGUUUUGAGUUUAUUUGAGUUAUCAUAUAGCCAUAACGACAGUGCAUGUGGAAAAAUUUCACAAUCUUAUCGUAGAAUCGAGUUUUUAGUACAUAUGCACUAAGCAAUCGAUACCAAGUUGCGUAAAAAUAUGAACUAUACAUAUUUAUGCUAAUUAGCCGUUUUGAGGUUAUUGGAGUUGUCAUAUAGCCAUAACGACAGUGAAUUUGGAAAAAUUUCACAAUCGUAUAUUAAGGUGUAGAAUCGAUUUUUUAAUACAUAUACAUUAAGCACUCGAUACCAAGUUGCGUAAAAAUACGAACUAUACAUAUUUAUGCUAAUUAACCGUUUUGAGGUUAUUUGAGUUAUCAUGUAGCCAUAACGACCUUGUAUUUGGAAAAAUUUCACAAUCUUAUCGUAGAAUCGAUUUUUUGGUACAUAUGCACUAAGCAAUCGAUUGCAACUAGCGUAAAAAUAUGAACUAUACAUAUUUAUGCUAAUUAGCCGUUUUGAUGUUAUUGGAGUUUUCAUAUAGCCAUAACGACAGUGAAUUUGGAAAAAUUUCACAAUCUUAUAAUAAGGCGUAUAAUCGAUUUUUUAGUACAUAUGCACUAAGUAAUCGAUACCAAGUUGCGUAGAAAUACGAACUAUACAUAUUUAUGCUAAUUAACCGUUUUGCGUUUAUUUGAGUUCUCAUAUAGCCAUAACGACAGUACAUGUGGAAAAAUUUCACAAUCUUAUCGUAGAAUCGAGUUUUUAGUACAUAUGCACUAAGCAAUCGAUACCAAGUUGCGUAAAAAUAUGAACUAUACAUAUUUAUGCUAAUUAGCCGUUUUGAGGUUAUUGGAGUUGUCAUAUAGCCAUAACGACAGUGAAUUUGGAAAAAUUUCACAAUCUUAUAUUGAGGUGCAGAACCGAUUUUUUAGUACAUAUACAUAAAGCACUCGAUUGCAAGUAGCGUAAAAAUAUGAAAUAUACAUAGUUAUGCUAAUCAGCUAUAUUGAGGUGCAGAACCGAUUUUUUAGUACAUAUACAUAAAGCACUCGAUUGCAAGUAGCGUAAAAAUAUGAAAUAUACAUAGUUAUGCUAAUCAGCUGUAUUGACGUUAUUGGAGUUGUCAUAUAGCCAUAACGACAGUGAAUUUGGAAAAAUUUUACAAUCUUAUAUUGAGGUGCAGAACCGAUUUUUUAGUACAUAUACAUUAAGCACUCGAUUGCAAGUAGCGUAAAAAUAUGAAAUAUACAUAGUUAUGCUAAUCAGCUGUAUUGACGUUAUUGGAGUUGUCAUAUAGCCAUAACGACAGUGAAUUUGGAAAAAUUUCACAAUCUUAUAUUAAGGUGUAGAAUCGAUUUUUUAGUACAUAUGCACUGUUUCGUCUUAUUUGAGUAGACAUAUAGCGUAACGACAGUGCAUUUGGAAAAAUUUCCUAAUCUUAUAUUAAGGCGUAGAAUCGAUUUUUUAGUACAUAUGCACUAAGCAAUCGAUACCAAGUUGCGUAAAAAUAUGAACUUCGCAUAUUUAUUCCAAUUAGCCGUUUUGAGGUUAUUGGAGUUGUCAUAUAGCCAUAACGACAGUGAAUUUGGAAAAAUUUCACAAUCGUAUAUUAAGGUGUAGAAUCGAUUUUUUAAUACAUAUACAUUAAGCACUCGAUACCAAGUUGCGUAAAAAUAUGAACUAUACAUAUUUAUGCUAAUUAGCUGUAUUUGGAAAAAUUUCACAAUCUUAUCGUAGAAUCGAUUUUUAGUACACUAUACAUAUUUAUGCUAAUUAACCGUUUUGAGGUUAUUUGAGUUAUCAUGUAGCCAUAACGACCUUGUAUUUGGAAAAAUUUUACAAUCUUAUCGUAGAAUCGAUUUUUUGGUACAUAUGCACUAAGCAAUCGAUACCAAGUUGCGUAAAAAUAUGAACUAUCCAUAGUUAUGCUAAUUAGCUGUUUUGAAGUUAUUGGAGUUGUCAUAUAACCAUAACGACAGUGAAUUUGGAAAAAUUUCACAAUCUUAUAUUAAGGUGUAGAAUCGAUUUUUUAGUACAUAUGCACUAUUUCAUCUUAUUUGAGUAGUCAUAGCCAUAACGACAGUGUAUUUGGAAAAAUUUCACAAUCUUAUAUUAAGCCGUAGAAUCGAUUUUUUAGUACAUAUGCCCUAAGCAAUCGAUAAAAAGUUGCGUAAAAAUAUGAACUAUACAUAGUUAUGCUAAUCAGCUGUAUUGACGUUAUUGGAGUUGUCAUAUAGCCAUAACGACAGUGAAUUUGGAAAAAUUUCACAAUCUUAUAUUAAGGUGUAGAAUCGAUUUUUUAGUACAUAUGCACUAAGCAAUCGAUACCAAGUUGCGUAAAAAUACGAACUAUACAUAUUUAUGCUAAUUAACCGUUUUGAGUUUAUUUGAGUUAUCAUAUAGCCAUAACGACAGUGCAUGUGGAAAAAUUUCACAAUCUUAUCGUAGAAUCGAGUUUUUAGUACAUAUGCACUAAGCAAUCGAUACCAAGUUGCGUAAAAAUAUGAACUAUACAUAUUUAUGCUAAUUAGCCGUUUUGAGGUUAUUGGAGUUGUCAUAUAGCCAUAACGACUGUGAAUUUGGAAAAAUUUCACAAUCUUAUAAUAAGGCGUAGAAUCGAUUUUUUAGUACAUAUGUACUAAGCAAUCGAUACCAAGUUGCGUAGAAAUACGAACUAUACAUAUUUAUGUUAAUUAACCGUUUUGAGUUUAUUUGAGUUAUCAUAUAGCCAUAACGACAGUGCAUGUGGAAAAAUUUCACAAUCUUAUCGUAGAAUCGAGUUUUUAGUACAUAUGCACUAAGCAAUCGAUACCAAGUUGCGUAAAAAUAUGAACUAUACAUAUUUAUGCUAAUUAGCCGUUUUGAGGUUAUUGGAGUUGUCAUAUAGCCAUAACGACAGUGAAUUUGGAAAAAUUUCACAAUCGUAUAUUAAGGUGUAGAAUCGAUUUUUUAAUACAUAUACAUUAAGCACUCGAUACCAAGUUGCGUAAAAAUACGAACUAUACAUAUUUAUGCUAAUUAACCGUUUUGAGGUUAUUUGAGUUAUCAUGUAGCCAUAACGACCUUGUAUUUGGAAAAAUUUCACAAUCUUAUCGUAGAAUCGAUUUUUUGGUACAUAUGCACUAAGCAAUCGAUUGCAACUAGCGUAAAAAUAUGAACUAUACAUAUUUAUGCUAAUUAGCCGUUUUGAUGUUAUUGGAGUUUUCAUAUAGCCAUAACGACAGUGAAUUUGGAAAAAUUUCACAAUCUUAUAAUAAGGCGUAUAAUCGAUUUUUUAGUACAUAUGCACUAAGUAAUCGAUACCAAGUUGCGUAGAAAUACGAACUAUACAUAUUUAUGCUAAUUAACCGUUUUGCGUUUAUUUGAGUUCUCAUAUAGCCAUAACGACAGUACAUGUGGAAAAAUUUCACAAUCUUAUCGUAGAAUCGAGUUUUUAGUACAUAUGCACUAAGCAAUCGAUACCAAGUUGCGUAAAAAUAUGAACUAUACAUAUUUAUGCUAAUUAGCCGUUUUGAGGUUAUUGGAGUUGUCAUAUAGCCAUAACGACAGUGAAUUUGGAAAAAUUUCACAAUCUUAUAUUGAGGUGCAGAACCGAUUUUUUAGUACAUAUACAUAAAGCACUCGAUUGCAAGUAGCGUAAAAAUAUGAAAUAUACAUAGUUAUGCUAAUCAGCUAUAUUGAGGUGCAGAACCGAUUUUUUAGUACAUAUACAUAAAGCACUCGAUUGCAAGUAGCGUAAAAAUAUGAAAUAUACAUAGUUAUGCUAAUCAGCUGUAUUGACGUUAUUGGAGUUGUCAUAUAGCCAUAACGACAGUGAAUUUGGAAAAAUUUUACAAUCUUAUAUUGAGGUGCAGAACCGAUUUUUUAGUACAUAUACAUUAAGCACUCGAUUGCAAGUAGCGUAAAAAUAUGAAAUAUACAUAGUUAUGCUAAUCAGCUGUAUUGACGUUAUUGGAGUUGUCAUAUAGCCAUAACGACAGUGAAUUUGGAAAAAUUUCACAAUCUUAUAUUAAGGUGUAGAAUCGAAUUUUUAGUACAUCUGCACUAUUUCGUCUUAUUUGAGUAGACAUAGAGCGUAACGACAGUGCAUGUGGAAAAAUUUCCCAAUCUUAUAUUAAGGCGUAGAAUCGAUUUUUUAGUACAUAUGCACUAAGCAAUCGAUAACAAGUUGCGUAAAAAUAUGAACUUCGCAUAUUUAUUCCAAUUAGCCAUAACGACAGUGAAUUUGGAAAAAUUUUACAAUCUUAUAUUGAGGUGCAGAACCGAUUUUUUAGUACAUAUACAUUAAGCACUCGAUUGCAAGUAGCGUAAAAAUGUGAACUAUACAUAUUUAAGCUAAUAAGCCGUUUUGAGAUUAUUGGAGUUGUCAUGUAGCCAUAACGACAGUUAAUUUGGAAAAAUUUCACAAUCUUAUAUUAAGGUGUAGAAUCGAUUUGUUAGUACAUAUGACCUAAGCAAUCGAUACCAAGUUGCGUAAAAAUAUGAACUAUACAUAUUUAUGUUAAUUAGCCGUUUUGAGGUUAUUUGAAUUGUCAUAUAGCCCUAACGACACUGUAUUUGGAAAAAUUUCACAAUCGUAUAUUAAGGUGUAGAAUCGAUUUUUUAAUACAUAUACAUAUUUAUGCUAAUUAACCGUUUUGAGUUUAUUUGAGUUAUCAUAUAGCCAUAACGACAGUGCAUUUGGAAAAAUUUCACAAUCUUAUCGUAGAAUCGAUUUUUUAGUACAUAUGCACUAAGCAAUCGAUACCAAGUUGCGUAAAAAUAUGAACUUCGCAUAUUUAUUCCAAUUAGCCAUAACGACGGUGAAUUUGGAAAAAUUUCACAAUCUUAUAUUGAGGUGCAGAACCGAUUUUUUAGUACAUAUACAUUAAGCACUAGAUUGCAAGUAGCGUAAAAAUAAGAACUAUACAUAUUUAUGCUAAUUAGCCGUUUUGAUGUUAUUGGAGUUUUCAUAUAGCCAUAACGACAGUGAAUUUGGAAAAAUUUCACAAUCUUAUAAUAAGGCGUAUAAUCGAUUUUUUAGUACAUAUGCACUAAGUAAUCGAUACCAAGUUGCGUAGAAAUACGAACUAUACAUAUUUAUGCUAAUUAACCGUUUUGCGUUUAUUUGAGUUCUCAUAUAGCCAUAACGACAGUACAUGUGGAAAAAUUUCACAAUCUUAUCGUAGAAUCGAGUUUUUAGUACAUAUGCACUAAGCAAUCGAUACCAAGUUGCGUAAAAAUAUGAACUAUACAUAUUUAUGCUAAUUAGCCGUUUUGAGGUUAUUGGAGUUGUCAUAUAGCCAUAACGACAGUGAAUUUGGAAAAAUUUCACAAUCUUAUAUUGAGGUGCAGAACCGAUUUUUUAGUACAUAUACAUAAAGCACUCGAUUGCAAGUAGCGUAAAAAUAUGAAAUAUACAUAGUUAUGCUAAUCAGCUAUAUUGAGGUGCAGAACCGAUUUUUUAGUACAUAUACAUAAAGCACUCGAUUGCAAGUAGCGUAAAAAUAUGAAAUAUACAUAGUUAUGCUAAUCAGCUGUAUUGACGUUAUUGGAGUUGUCAUAUAGCCAUAACGACAGUGAAUUUGGAAAAAUUUUACAAUCUUAUAUUGAGGUGCAGAACCGAUUUUUUAGUACAUAUACAUUAAGCACUCGAUUGCAAGUAGCGUAAAAAUAUGAAAUAUACAUAGUUAUGCUAAUCAGCUGUAUUGACGUUAUUGGAGUUGUCAUAUAGCCAUAACGACAGUGAAUUUGGAAAAAUUUCACAAUCUUAUAUUAAGGUGUAGAAUCGAAUUUUUAGUACAUCUGCACUAUUUCGUCUUAUUUGAGUAGACAUAGAGCGUAACGACAGUGCAUGUGGAAAAAUUUCCCAAUCUUAUAUUAAGGCGUAGAAUCGAUUUUUUAGUACAUAUGCAGUAAGCAAUCGAUAACAAGUUGCGUAAAAAUAUGAACUUCGCAUAUUUAUACCAAUUAGCCAUAACGACAGUGAAUUUGGAAAAAUUUUACAAUCUUAUAUUGAGGUGCAGAACCGAUUUUUUAGUACAUAUACAUUAAGCACUCGAUUGCAAGUAGCGUAAAAAUGUGAACUAUACAUAUUUAAGCUAAUAAGCCGUUUUGAGAUUAUUGGAGUUGUCAUGUAGCCAUAACGACAGUUAAUUUGGAAAAAUUUCACAAUCUUAUAUUAAGGUGUAGAAUCGAUUUGUUAGUACAUAUGCACUAAGCAAUCGAUACCAAGUUGCGUAAAAAUAUGAACUUCGCAUAUUUAUUCCAAUUAGCCGUUUUGAGGUUAUUGGAGUUGUCAUAUAGCCAUAACGACAGUGAAUUUGGAAAAAUUUCACAAUCGUAUAUUAAGGUGUAGAAUCGAUUUUUUAAUACAUAUACAUUAAGCACUCGAUACCAAGUUGCGUAAAAAUAUGAACUAUACAUAUUUAUGCUAAUUAGCUGUAUUUGGAAAAAUUUCACAAUCUUAUCGUAGAAUCGAUUUUUAGUACACUAUACAUAUUUAUGCUAAUUAACCGUUUUGAGGUUAUUUGAGUUAUCAUGUAGCCAUAACGACCUUGUAUUUGGAAAAAUUUCACAAUCUUAUCGUAGAAUCGAUUUUUUGGUACAUAUGCACUAAGCAAUCGAUACCAAGUUGCGUAAAAAUAUGAACUUUGCAUAUUUAUUCCAAUCAGCCAUAACGACAGUGAAU